GCGGUGAAAUGCGUAGAUAUCAGGAGGAACACCGGUGGCGAAGGCGGGUCUCUGGGCCGAUACUGACGCUGAGGAGCGAAAGCGUGGGGAGCGAACAGGAUUAGAUACCCUGGUAGUCCACGCUGUAAACGUUGGGCGCUAGGUGUGGGGGGCCUCUCCGGUUCCCUGUGCCGCAGCUAACGCAUUAAGCGCCCCGCCUGGGGAGUACGGCCGCAAGGCUAAAACUCAAAUGAAUUGACGG
rnacentral:rRNA from 1 species